UUAAAUUGAAGAGUUUGAUCAUGGCUCAGAUUGAACGCUGGCGGCAGGCCUAACACAUGCAAGUCGAGCGGAAACGAGUUAUCAGAACCUUCGGGGGACGAUAACGGCGUCGAGCGGCGGACGGGUGAGUAAUGCCUAG
rnacentral:rRNA from 1 species